rnacentral:tRNA from 1 species
GGGGCUGUAGCUCAGCUGGGAGAGCACCUGCUUUGCAAGCAGGGGGUCAGCGGUUCGAUCCCGCUCAGCUCCACC